GGGACCCCUUGGCCGAGAGGCCUUCCGCAGGGCGGGAAGGGUCAGGACCCCCUAAGACCUGAGCUCAGUUCACACCGUUCCCCUACUGAUUUCCUUUCCACAAAGACCAGCCCCUUCUGGAGUUGCUCAUACUUAUUUACUUUUCAUCCAACUGUAAGUUAUCACACCGAAUGCUGAGAACUACAGAGGGCCAUCAAGGCCCUGUCCUCCGGCAAGCAGCUGGCCAGGUCACAGGGCACAGACGGGCAAUCGAGCCGCUGCGACCUGAGCUAUGGAAAACAGGAGAACAUGCGCAGAGAUGGGGAGGUGUGGGCGGCCCGGUUCUCCGCCGUGGAGCUACGCGCAGUUCUACAACGCAGACUGGAAAGGGGCAAAAGAUAACGUCAGAGGUCACCAGCAGCCAGAUCACAAAGAAGGUUCUGUAUCUACCCAGGGAGGCUGCUUCUUUGUUUGCUUGUUUUCUAACUUUGGGCCACUUUCAAAUUUGAGGGCAAAGUCAGAAUUCCCUGUUAGAAAGAUGGCACUGAUCAAGUGGGCAAGGCCGGGGGAAGGGAAACCAGCCAGGAGGAAUUUGGGGCAGCCCGGGAUGGGUACAAGUUGCUGAGCCAGGAGACAAGAGCUGGAGCUCGGACUGGAGCUGGUGAAAUAUGGCAAGGACAUUUUCUUGUCAGUGAUUAUGAUCUAAAAUAAGGAAAGUGCCAGAGUGUAACCCUCCUAGCAGGGGGAGUUAGAGCCAAGCCUGAAUGCGUUCAUACCACAGAAGAGGAAGUUUGAGAAAAACAACCAUCUCUUUUUGGCGUGAGCCUCCACAAAAGGGCCCAGGAGCGGCCGCCCAACCUCCACAGCACCUAGUAAACUGGGAACACCCAUAAGCAUUUUAAAUAAAUGGAAAAAUAAGCAAAUACACAUCAUCUUGCUAUAGGGCCUGUGACACAGGACUUCCAGAUAAGCCAAAGGAAACCUGGUUGGAGCUGAGGCUGAAACGGAGAGAGAGUCUGACCUUGACCACAAAGUCAUAACAACUGCUCCACCUUCACUUGAGCAGUUUGUACUGUGCUGGUAAAUGUUUAAUCUCCAACACUGGGGUGGGGGGGGCUGCUCGGAACCCUGACUCGCAGCGUCUGCUGACUUCUCCCGUGAAUAUUCCUACCAUGGCCGAGGUGACACCUCUGACUGUGACGUCACUGAACACAGACCCUCGGGAUCCACUCCAAGGCUCACACAGGCUGCCUCCCCCGCCCCAGUGACUUUCUCUCCACCUGAAGUUCACUCCCGGAGGCCAGGCACCUCUCCCGGCCUGCACCGUGUGGGCCCUGAGACUCCACGGAGGCGUCUGACCCGGUUGCUCCUUCUCCCGUCUCCUCGCCUGUCAGUGCUCUUCUCUGGCCUGGGAGAGCCUCGGGGACAUCUGCACCCCACGUAAGGCCUGGGGAAGAGCCACGGCCGGUCUUGGGCCCUCAGCAUCUCCUGCUCCACGGUCUAAGGCCAAGCUGAGGAUUCUCUGUGUCCCAGAGUCCCAGAAGGUCUGGGCUGCCACCUCCAUGGGGGUCAGCGGCAAAGAUGGAGGUGGCAGAUGAAAGGAGUCUGACCCUCGGGCCUGCGGGGGCCAUUUCUUCAAAAUCGAACUGGCUCAAAUCCAAAACUAUGAAGAACCUGGAAAGCUGGCUGCUGCUGAUACUUCCCAGGGCUACAAUUCUGGGUGGUACUUUCCCAUAAACAUUUUGCUGGAAUUUUCUGCCCUGGCUCCUACGAGGUGUGGGCAGACAUUGAAACUGCAGAUCACAGGGAGGUGCAGAAAAGAUGGGCUUUGGCGCCAUCUGCUGGAUACUUUCGUUUUUGCACA